rnacentral:rRNA from 1 species
AGGGUUUGAUCCUGGCUCAGGAUGAACGCUAGCGGCAGGCUUAACACAUGCAAGUCGAACGGGAUUGAGAGCUUGCUCUCAUGAGAGUGGCGCACGGGUGAGUAACGCGUAUGCAACCUACCUAUAACAGGGGGAUAGCUCGUCGAAAGGCGAAUUAACACCCCAUAAGACCACGAUGCGGCAUCGCAAAGUGGUAAAAUUUCAGGAGGUUAUAGAUGGGCAUGCGUGUCAUUAGCUAGUUGGUGAGGUAACGGCUCACCAAGGCGACGAUGACUAGGGGUUCUGAGAGGAUGAUCCCCCACACUGGUACUGAGACACGGACCAGACUCCUACGGGAGGCAGCAGUGAGGAAUAUUGGUCAAUGGGCGCAAGCCUGAACCAGCCAUGCCGCGUGAAGGAAGACGGCCCUAAGGGUUGUAAACUUCUUUUGUACUUGGGUAAUAGCCUUUACGUGUAGAGGUAUGAAAGUAAAGUACGAAUAAGGAUCGGCUAACUCCGUGCCAGCAGCCGCGGUAAUACGGAGGAUCCAAGCGUUAUCCGGAUUUAUUGGGUUUAAAGGGUGCGUAGGCGGGCCCUUAAGUCAGUGGUGAAAGUUUGCAGCUUAACUGUAAAAUUGCCAUUGAAACUGAGGGUCUUGAGUGUAAAUAAGGUAGGCGGAAUGUGUUGUGUAGCGGUGAAAUGCUUAGAUAUAACACAGAACACCAAUUGCGAAGGCAGCUUACUGGGAUACAACUGACGCUGAGGCACGAAAGCGUGGGGAUCAAACAGGAUUAGAUACCCUGGUAGUCCACGCAGUAAACGAUGAAUACUAACUGUAUGCGAUAUAGUGUAUGCGGUACAGCGAAAGCGUUAAGUAUUCCACCUGGGGAGUACGUUCGCAAGAAUGAAACUCAAAGGAAUUGACGGGUAUCGUGACUGGGAAAC